GGUAGCUAAGUGCGGAAGAGAUAAGUGCUGAAAGCAUCUAAGCACGAAACUUGCCCCGAGAUGAGUUCUCCCUGACAAAGAGUCAGUAAGGGUUGUUGAAGACGACGACGUAGAUAGGUGGGGUGUGUAAGCGGUGUGAGCCGUUGAGCUAACCCAUACUAAUUGCCCGAGAGGCUUAACUAUACAACACUGAAGGGUUUU
rnacentral:rRNA from 1 species